ensembl:snRNA U6 U6 spliceosomal RNA
GUGCUCACUUCACCAGCAUGUAUACUAAGUUUGGAAAGGUACAAAGAUUAGCACGGCCCCUGCACAAGGACGGCAUGCAAAUUUGCAAAGCAUUCCAUAUUAAA